CAAGUCACAAGUGGCGUGAGCUGAUGACAUGUGGCGGGCAGCGCCAGCACGGGGUCCACACACGCCUCUCGUUCUGAUGCAGGAGGCGUGGUGGGAGAUAGAAGGUGGACGCUUGGCAGAUACAUAAGACGCAGAACGGCAACCUCGGCGAUAGAGCAAAGUUGGUAUUUGAGUUCAACAGACGGCGAUUAUAGGACUCGGGAGAAGCGGCAUGGGCUAUAUUAGAG
rnacentral:lncRNA from 1 species